rnacentral:lncRNA from 1 species
UAUUGUCGCUGGGUACACACUGCUAUCUCAGAGGUUUGGUGGGUGACAGCAGUUUUAUAUUAGAUUGUUGGCGCUCCACCGAAGGAGGAAAACAGUCGCAGGACCUCGUAGCAGCCGAGGUUGUGCGCCAGGGGGUGUUUGCCCUUUUGAAUUUCAAACGAAAUGAACGUAAACGAACUAAAACAAUACCAGCUGUUUGUGCAGGAGAUGCUAACUAACUAGCUAGUAGGCUACUUUGCUAACCAGCGUCCACUGUGAAAAGUAACGUCCGAAUAAAAGAAGGCAGAAACAACCAGAGCAUCUUCACUACCUCCAGCUACAACAACAACAACGUUGCAUAGCCAUCAUGACUCCCUGUGAGGUAGACUAUGCCCUGCAAACGCUGAUGUCGAAAAUAAAGGCGAGGGAGUUGGAGUCGCAACGGGCGAUGAACGAACACGUUCUGACAAACAGACUCUUGAAACGUCAGCUUCAGGAACUUCAGAACCGACUAGAGUCAAAAGAGAGCCAGUUAGCUGAUGCCAACGAGACUAUCCGGGCUCUUCGGAGUGUGACUCAGAUCAUCGCUGGUCUGCAGGAUGAGAUCAGGGCCCUGCGCACACAGCUGCUGACGCCCCAAGUUCACAACCAUCGAUCAAUCACCACACAGAUCCGGAACCCAGCAGCCAUCUCCGGUCCAAUCAGAAUUCAGGCCCCUGAUGACCUGUCCCGUCGCACUCUCUCUCACCCCACUGAAGCUGGCCCCACAUGUUCAGACUACAUUUCCCAGAAUUCCUCCAAAGAGUGCACCCUUCUGAAAAUCAUCUCGGAAUGCGGAAGGACAACAGAAGUUGCAGUUCCACGUGUAAAAGAGGAGGAGCAGGAAGUUGAAAUGGAAGGAGGGGAUGAGGACGGAGAGAGUGAGGGAGGGGUCGCCGAGGAAACGGUGAAGUUGGAGAACGACGGCGAGUGGGACGGGUGUUUCGAAUAUAACCAUGCAGCGCACGGCAGUGGAGAACUACCAGACAAGGAGUCUUCGUAUACCUUCAGCAAUCAUGACUUGGCUGCCAUUGAAGCGGCAACAUCCGCGUCUUCUUCGCGUUCUUCCGAUUCUGCUGCAGUCUUGAAUGCGUCUAACUCUCGGAAAAGGCAGGUGCCGGACACCCCUCUAGAUAGCCAGUCAGCAAGUGUGGUGAGCUUUGCUUCGAGUGUUUAUUGAGUAUAUAAAUGAAAUGCAAAGAACAGAACAUAUAUAAACGUUGUACUAAAAGGAAGGACAUCACGUUAAAAGGACAUCAAAAGACAAAACAGAAAUGCGACUCUAAAAUAACCUUUUUCAAAAGUGGUCCACUAUAUAACGACAGUGUCCUUGUUUAAAGUAACACUAUGGAGUUUCUGGAGCACACAGCUAAGGGGUUACUUUCUGCUGGACUAUUCGGUAACUUUUUUGCUGUCUUGCUUUGUCUUGUGUUGCACUUGCUUGAUGUUUGACUGUUUAGGAAAGUUGUUGGCAAGCUAGCCAACAUAGCUAUCACAAUAACAUUACAAAGAAAUUGGCGCAAGAGCACUUAUUACUAGCAUCAAUGUACAAGCGUGUUAUAACAAGCUUGCUAACAUCGCUAACAAAAUGUCUUGCUAGCGGCUAAACUUAGCAAAACCUGUUGAAAUUAGUUUACUUUGUUUAUGAUAAACUCGCGAGUCAACAACUUUCCUAACCAGUCAAACAUCAAGCAAGUGCAACACAAGACAAAGCAAGACAGCAAAUAAGUUACUGAAUAGUCCAGCAGAAGGUACCCUCCUAGCUGACGGCUCCAGAAACUCCAUAGUAUUACUUUAAGUGUACUGAAGUAGGUAAUGAUGCUUCUCGUUAUUAAAUAAUAUUAUCCUUGAGUCUAGUACACUUUGUUAUAACACCUACUACUAUAACAGCAAAUUCUGCUUAUCAACGAGGUAGUAAACACCUGGUACUUUAGGACACUGACAUGAAGUAGGGUCAAAACAUCUGCCAGUGCUAGGUUGUUGAAUUACAGAACCUUGUGUCUAGGUUUGAAAUCUAAUUUCCGUUUGAGCUUUAUGAUUGUUCGUCUUUGUUGAAUUGAUUCAGCUUUGCACAUUGUAAAAUGUAUGAUGUUUAAUUUCAGAUGGUCCACACUGCGCUCUGUGAGAAGCUCGGGGGUGACAGGAUAUUUCAUGAGUAUAAUAAGAUGAAAUGUCUCUCA